rfam:Otolemur garnettii contig184203, whole genome shotgun sequence.
GUGCUCAUUUCCACAGCACACAUACUAAAAUUGGAAUGAUACAAAUAAGAUUGCCAUGGCCCCUGCAUAAGGAUAACACAAAAAUUCAUGAAUCAUUCCAUAUUUUU